rnacentral:rRNA from 1 species
GACGAACGCUGGCGGCGUGCUUAACACAUGCAAGUCGAACGGAAAGGCCCUGCUUUUGUGGGGUGCUCGAGUGGCGAACGGGUGAGUAACACGUGAGUAACCUGCCCUUGACUUUGGGAUAACUUCAGGAAACUGGGGCUAAUACCGGAUAGGAGCUCCUGCUGCAUGGUGGGGGUUGGAAAGUUUCGGCGGUUGGGGAUGGACUCGCGGCUUAUCAGCUUGUUGGUGGGGUAGUGGCUUACCAAGGCUUUGACGGGUAGCCGGCCUGAGAGGGUGACCGGCCACAUUGGGACUGAGAUACGGCCCAGACUCCUACGGGAGGCAGCAGUGGGGAAUAUUGCACAAUGGGCGGAAGCCUGAUGCAGCAACGCCGCGUGCGGGAUGACGGCCUUCGGGUUGUAAACCGCUUUCGCCUGUGACGAAGCGUGAGUGACGGUAAUGGGUAAAGAAGCACCGGCUAACUACGUGCCAGCAGCCGCGGUGAUACGUAGGGUGCGAGCGUUGUCCGGAUUUAUUGGGCGUAAAGGGCUCGUAGGUGGUUGAUCGCGUCGGAAGUGUAAUCUUGGGGCUUAACCCUGAGCGUGCUUUCGAUACGGGUUGACUUGAGGAAGGUAGGGGAGAAUGGAAUUCCUAGUGGAGCGGUGGAAUGCGCAGAUAUCAGGAGGAACACCAGUGGCGAAGGCGGUUCUCUGGGCCUUUCCUGACGCUGAGGAGCGAAAGCGUGGGGAGCGAACAGGCUUAGAUACCCUGGUAGUCCACGCUGUAAACGGUGGGUACUAGGUGUGGGGUCCAUUCCACGGGUUCCGUGCCGUAGCUAACGCUUUAAGUACCCCGCCUGGGGAGUACGGCCGCAAGGCUAAAACUCAAAGGAAUUGACGGGGCCCCGCACAAGCGGCGGAGCAUGCGGAUUAAUUCGAUGCAACGCGUAGAACCUUACCUGGGUUUGACAUGGAUCGGGAGUGCUCAGAGAUGGGUGUGCCUCUUUUGGGGUCGGUUCACAGGUGGUGCAUGGCUGUCGUCAGCUCGUGUCGUGAGAUGUUGGGUUAAGUCCCGCAACGAGCGCAACCCUUGUUCACUGUUGCCAGCACGUUAUGGUGGGGACUCAGUGGAGACCGCCGGGGUCAACUCGGAGGAAGGUGGGGAUGACGUCAAGUCAUCAUGCCCCUUAUGUCCAGGGCUUCACGCAUGCUACAAUGGCUGGUACAGAGAGUGGCGAGCCUGUGAGGGUGAGCGAAUCUCGGAAAGCCGGUCUCAGUUCGGAUUGGGGUCUGCAACUCGACCUCAUGAAGUCGGAGUCGCUAGUAAUCGCAGAUCAGCAACGCUGCGGUGAAUACGUUCCCGGGGCU